GGGGGACGUUAUCGGAAUUACUGGGCGUAAGCGCACGCAGGCGGUCUGUCAAGUCGGAUGUGAAAUCCCCGGGCUCAACCUGGGAACUGCAUUCGAAACUGGCAGGCUAGAGUCUUGUAGAGGGGGGUAGAAUUCCAGGUGUAGCGGUGAAAUGCGUAGAGAUCUGGAGGAAUACCGGUGGCGAAGGCGGCCCCCUGGACAAAGACUGACGCUCAGGUGCGAAAGCGUGGGGAGCAAACAGGAUUAGAUACCCUGGUAGUCCACGCCGUAAACGAUGUCGAUUUGGAGGUUGUGCCCUUGAGGCGUGGCUUCCGGAGCUAACGCGUUAAAUCGACCGCCUGGGGAGUACGGCCGCAAGGUUAAAACUCAAAUGAAUUGACGGGGGCCCGCACAAGCGGUGGAGCAUGUGGUUUAAUUCGAUGCAACGCGAAGAACCUUACCUGGUCUUGACAUCCACAGAACUUAGCAGAGAUGCUUUGGUGCCUUCGGGAACUGUGAGACAGGUGCUGCAUGGCUGUCGUCAGCUCGUGUUGUGAAAUGUUGGGUUAAGUCCCGCAACGAGCGCAACCCUUAUCCUUUGUUGCCAGCGGUUCGGCCGGGAACUCAAAGGAGACUGCCAGUGAUAAACUGGAGGAAGGUGGGGGAUGACGUCAAGUCAUCAUGGCCCUUACGACCAGGGCUACACACGUGCUACAAUGGCAUAUACAAAGAGAAGCGACCUCGCGAGAGCAAGCGGACCUCAUAAAGUAUGUCGUAGUCCGGAUUGGAGUCUGCAACUCGACUCCAUGAAGUCGGAAUCGCUAGUAAUCGUAGAUCAGAAUGCUACGGUGAAUACGUUCCCGGGCCUUGUACACACCGCCCGUCACACCAUGGGGAGUGGGUUGCAAAAGAAGUAGGUAGCUUAACCUUCGGGGAGGGCGCUUACCACUUUGUGAUUCAUGACUGGGGUGAACUAGAAAAAAACCCCCCCCACACAAAAAAAAAGGGGCAAAAAAAAACGGGGGGGAAC
rnacentral:rRNA from 1 species